AUGAGCCAAGGAUUCAGAGAAAAAUAUAACAUUCCUUCUGUACCUUAUGGGUCAAAAGUUAUUAGCAUAAAGAUACAGACAAUUUUGACAAGUGGUGGCGCUAGAGAGUUGGAGUUAGAGACUCCAAAUUUGCUAUGGUUUAUGUUGAGACUGUCCUCUAUCAGUGUGCCAAAUUUCACAACUUUCCCGCAAGCGGUUCUAUGGGCUGCCAUAGACUUGCGGCGGAAGAAGAAGAAGAAGAAGAAGAAGAAGAAGAAGAAGAAGAAGAAGAAGAAGAAGAAGAAGAAGAAGAAAUAUAGCUGCAAGCAGCAAUUACAGGGCCAAGCACUCCAGCGGCAUAUUGAGGAGCUAAGCAUGGCGCGGAGCAACAAUGAGCGAUUACAGCAAUUUUAGGAUGAUUGUAAUUGAAAUUUAUUAUUAAAAGUAUUAUGAUUAAAUGGUUUAUCACUUUUGACCAACAGUUGGCGCUGUGAUCAAAUCAUUUUGGUGUGUUCUGUGUGAGGUGAGAAUGGCACACACAAAGUUUGGUGUCAGUAUGCUAAAGCAUAGCAGAGAUACAGCCUCAAGUGUGAUUUUGGCAUCAUGCCUGAAAUUCGUC
ensembl:lncRNA